CAUAGCGACUAUCGUGGCAUAUCAAUAAGCGGAGGAAAAGAAACUAACUAAGGAUUCCCCUCAGUAACGGCGAGUGAAGCGGGAAGAGCUCAAAUUUGAAAUCUUCAAGGGUUUACCUUGACGAAUUGUAGUUUAAAGAAGUGUUUUCUGUUAGAGAGGUGGUAAAAGUUCUUUGGAAUAGGACAUCAUAGAGGGUGAGAAUCCCGUAUUUGAUCACUUUCUACUAACGUUGUGAUACACUUUCAAAGAGUCGGAUUGUUUGGGAAUGCAGUCCAAAAUGGGUGGUAAAUUUCAUCUAAAGCUAAAUAUUGGCGAGAGACCGAUAGCGAACAAGUACCGUGAGGGAAAGAUGAAAAGAACUUUGAAAAGAGAGUUAAACAGUACGUGAAAUUGUCAAAAGGGAAGCGUUUGACACCAGUGUUGUUUUUCCGAAAAUCAAUUAUGAAUGGCCUGAUUUUAAGUUUCAUGACCUUAAAAGCUUGUUUCUUAUUUUUCUUGUCUUUCUUAAUGCACUUUUCGGUUAACAAGUCAACAUCAAUUUCUUUUGUUGUAAAAGGGUAAGAGGAAGGUGGCUUACGCUUCGGGUAAGUGUUUAUAGCCUUUUACCUCUGCAAUCGGAGAGAUUGAGGUACAUGCAGCGUAGACUCCUUCGGGGCUAGAUACACUUUGUGCUAAGAUAUAGCCUUGUCAUAGACAACUUGUUGACUAUGUUAGUCAUUGUAGCUUACUCGCAUGCUGCUAUUUUACCUACGCUUAGGAUGUUGAUAUGCAUGACUGAUAU
rnacentral:rRNA from 1 species